CCUACGGGAGGCAGCAGUGGGGAAUAUUGGGCAAUGGGCGAAAGCCUGACGCAGCGACGCCGCGUGAGGGAUGAAGGUCUUCGGAUCGUAAACCUCUGUCAGCAGGGAAGAACGGUCACUGUGCUAAUCAGCAGUGCAUUGACGGUACCUGCAAAGGAAGCACCGGCUAACUCCGUGCCAGCAGCCGCGGUAAUACGGAGGGUGCGAGUGUUAAUCGGCAUUACUGGGCGUAAAGCGCUCGUAGGCGGUAUGUCAAGUUCAGGGUGAAAUCCCCGCGCUCAACGUGGGAACUGCCUUUGAAACUGGCAAACUGGAGUGUGUGAGAGGAUAGUGGAAUUCCAGGUGUAGGAGUGAAAUCCGUAGAUAUCUGGAGGAACAUCAGUGGCGAAGGCGACUAUCUGGCACAUAACUGACGCUGAGGAGCGAAAGCGUGGGUAGCAAACAGGAUUAGAUACCCGGGUAGUC
rnacentral:rRNA from 1 species